AUUGAACGCUGGCGGCAGGCCUAACACAUGCAAGUCGAACGAGUGGCGGACGGGUGAAUAAUUUCUGGGAAACUGCCUGAUGGAGGGGGAUGACUACUGGAAACGGUAGCUAAUACCGCAUACCAUCAGAUGUGCCCAGAUGGGAUUAGCUUGUUGGUGGGGUAACGGCGCACAAAGGCGACGAUCCAUAGCUGGUCUGAGAGGAUGAACAGCCACACGGGAACUGAGAAACGGUCCAGACUCCUACGGGAGGCAGCAGUGGGGAAUAUUGGACAAUGGGCGCAAGCCUGAUGCAGCAAUGCCGCGUGUAUGAAGAAGGCUUGCGGGUUGUAAAGUACUGUCAGCGGGGAGGCGUUACCCGAAGAGGAAGCAACGGCUAACUACGUGCCAGCAGCCGCGGUAAUAC
rnacentral:rRNA from 1 species